rfam:Schistosoma mansoni strain Puerto Rico chromosome W, complete genome
AACUUUUUUAAUUCGUACUGAGAUUUUGUCAGACGCCAACCCAUUAGGGCUGAUCAGACUUCCAAGAUAAGUGAAGUU